UGGGGAAUAUUGGACAAUGGGCGAAAGCCUGAUCCAGCCAUGCCGCGUGUGUGAAGAAGGUCUUCGGAUUGUAAAGCACUUUAAGUUGGGAGGAAGGGCAGUAAGCGAAUACCUUGCUGUUUUGACGUUACCGACAGAAUAAGCACCGGCUAAUUCUGUGCCAGCAGCCGCGGUAAUACAGAGGGUGCAAGCGUUAAUCGGAAUUACUGGGCGUAAAGCGCGCGUAGGUGGUUCGUUAAGUUGAAUGUGAAAUCCCCGAGCUUAACUUGGGAAUUGCAUUCGAUACUGGUUAGCUAGAGUGUGGGAGAGGAUGGUAGAAUUCCAGGUGUAGCGGUGAAAUGCGUAGAGAUCUGGAGGAAUACCGAUGGCGAAGGCAGCCAUCUGGCCUAACACUGACGCUGAGGUACGAAAGCAUGGGGAGCAAACAGG
rnacentral:rRNA from 1 species